GGACGAACGCUGGCGGCGUGCCUAACACAUGCAAGUCGAACGGGGUAAAGAGCUUCGGUUUUUUACUUAGUGGCGAACGGGUGAGUAACGCGUGAGAAACCUGCCUUUCAGUGGGGGGACAACAGUUGGAAACGACUGCUAAUACCGCAUAAUGUUAUUUGAGGGCAUCCUUAAAUAACCAAAGCUUUAUGUGCUGAAAGAUGGUCUCGCGUCUGAUUAGCUAGAUGGCGGGGUAACGGCCCACCAUGGCGACGAUCAGUAGCCGGUCUGAGAGGAUGAACGGCCACAUUGGGACUGAGAUACGGCCCAGACUCCUACGGGAGGCAGCAGUGGGGAAUAUUGGGCAAUGGGGGAAACCCUGACCCAGCAACGCCGCGUGAAGGAAGAAGGCCUUCGGGUUGUAAACUUCUUUUAGCAGGGACGAAGAACGUGACGGUACCUGCAGAAAAAGCAACGGCUAACUACGUG
rnacentral:rRNA from 1 species